rnacentral:rRNA from 1 species
AUGAACGCUAGCUACAGGCUUAACACAUGCAAGUCGAGGGGCAGCAUGGUCUUAGCUUGCUAAGGCCGAUGGCGACCGGCGCACGGGUGAGUAACACGUAUCCAACCUGCCGUCUACUCUUGGACAGCCUUCUGAAAGGAAGAUUAAUACAAGAUGGCAUCAUGAGUCCACAUGUUCACAUGAUUAAAGGUAUUCCGGUAGACGAUGGGGAUGCGUUCCAUUAGAUAGUAGGCGGGGUAACGGCCCACCUAGUCUUCGAUGGAUAGGGGUUCUGAGAGGAAGGUCCCCCACAUUGGAACUGAGACACGGUCCAAACUCCUACGGGAGGCAGCAGUGAGGAAUAUUGGUCAAUGGGCGAGAGCCUGAACCAGCCAAGUAGCGUGAAGGAUGACUGCCCUAUGGGUUGUAAACUUCUUUUAUAAAGGAAUAAAGUCGGGUAUGGAUACCCGUUUGCAUGUACUUUAUGAAUAAGGAUCGGCUAACUCCGUGCCAGCAGCCGCGGUAAUACGGAGGAUCCGAGCGUUAUCCGGAUUUAUUGGGUUUAAAGGGAGCGUAGAUGGAUGUUUAAGUCAGUUGUGAAAGUUUGCGGCUCAACCGUAAAAUUGCAGUUGAUACUGGAUAUCUUGAGUGCAGUUGAGGCAGGCGGAAUUCGUGGUGUAGCGGUGAAAUGCUUAGAUAUCACGAAGAACUCCGAUUGCGAAGGCAGCCUGCUAAGCUGCAACUGACAUUGAGGCUCGAAAGUGUGGGUAUCAAACAGGAUUAGAUACCCUGGUAGUCCACACGGUAAACGAUGAGUACUCGCUGUUUGCGAUAUACGGCAAGCGGCCAAGCGAAAGCGUUAAGUAUUCCACCUGGGGAGUACGCCGGCAACGGUGAAACUCAAAGGAAUUGACGGGGGCCCGCACAAGCGGAGGAACAUGUGGUUUAAUUCGAUGAUACGCGAGGAACCUUACCCGGGCUUAAAUUGCAGAUGAAUUACGGUGAAAGCCGUAAGCCGCAAGGCAUCUGUGAAGGUGCUGCAUGGUUGUCGUCAGCUCGUGCCGUGAGGUGUCGGCUUAAGUGCCAUAACGAGCGCAACCCUUGUUGUCAGUUACUAACAGGUUCCGCUGAGGACUCUGACAAGACUGCCAUCGUAAGAUGUGAGGAAGGUGGGGAUGACGUCAAAUCAGCACGGCCCUUACGUCCGGGGCUACACACGUGUUACAAUGGGGGGUACAGAGGGCCGCUACCACGCGAGUGGAUGCCAAUCCCAAAAACCUCUCUCAGUUCGGACUGGAGUCUGCAACCCGACUCCACGAAGCUGGAUUCGCUAGUAAUCGCGCAUCAGCCACGGCGCGGUGAAUACGUUCCCGGGCCUUGUACACACCGCCCGUCAAGCCAUGGGAGCCGGGGGUACCUGAAGUGCGUAACCGCGAGGAGCGCCCUAGGGUAAAACUGGUGACUGGGGCU